GACGUAGGGUGCGAGCGUUGUCCGGAUUUAUUGGGCGUAAAGAGCUCGUAGGCGGCUUAGUAAGUCGGAUGUGAAAACUCGGGGCUCAACCCCGAGACGCCAUCCGAUACUGCUGUGGCUUGAGUCUGGUAGGGGAACACGGAAUUCCUGGUGUAGCGGUGAAAUGCGCAGAUAUCAGGAGGAACACCGAUGGCGAAGGCAGUGUUCUGGGCCAGUACUGACGCUGAGGAGCGAAAGCGUGGGGAGCAAACAGG
rnacentral:rRNA from 1 species